rnacentral:rRNA from 1 species
GAUGGAGGGGGCUAGCGUUGUUCGGAAUUACUGGGCGUAAAGAGCGUGUAGGCGGUCUUUUAAGUCAGGCGUGAAAGGCCUGUGCUCAACCCGGGAACUGCGCUGGAGACUGGGAGACUAGAGUACUGUAGAGGAGAGUGGAAUUCCUAGUGUAGAGGUGAAAUUCGUAGAUAUUAGGAGGAACACCAGAGGCGAAGGCGGCUCUCUGGGCAGUAACUGACGCUGAGACGCGAAAGCGUGGGGAGCAAACAGG